rfam:Fomitopsis pinicola FP-58527 SS1 unplaced genomic scaffold FOMPIscaffold_9, whole genome shotgun sequence.
GGCAAGAUGGCCGAGCGGUCUAAGGCGCUGGAAUCAGGUUGAGUAAUUACCAAUCCAGUCCUCACGGGCGUGGGUUCGAAUCCCACUCUUGUCA